rnacentral:rRNA from 1 species
UACGGGGGGUGCGAGCGUUGUCCGGAAUCACUGGGCGUAAAGGGCGCGUAGGCGGGAAUGUAAGUCGGGCGUGAAAUCCCUAGGCUCAACCUCGGAACUGCCUUCGAUACUGCGGGUCUCGAGUCCGGGAGAGGUGAGUGGAAUUCCUAGUGUAGAGGUGAAAUUCGUAGAUAUUAGGAAGAAACACCAGUGGCGAAGGCGGCUCACUGGCCCGGUACUG